rnacentral:rRNA from 1 species
GACGAACGCUGGCGGCAUGCCUAAUACAUGCAAGUCGAGCGAACAGAUGAAGUGCUUGCACUUCUGACGUUAGCGGCGAACGGGUGAGUAACACGUAAGGAAUCUACCUAUAAGCGGGGGAUAACAUUCGGAAACGGGUGCUAAUACCGCAUAAUAUCUUCUUCCGCAUGGAAGAAGAUUGAAAGACGGCUCUGCUGUCACUUAUAGAUGACCUUGCGGUGCAUUAGUUAGUUGGUGGGGUAACGGCCUACCAAGACGAUGAUGCAUAGCCGACCUGAGAGGGUAAUCGGCCACAUUGGGACUGAGACACGGCCCGAACUCCUACGGGAGGCAGCAGUAGGGAAUCUUCCGCAAUGGGCGAAAGCCUGACGGAGCAAUGCCGCGUGAGUGAAGAAGGCCUUCGGGUCGUAAAACUCUGUUAUAAGAGAAGAACAAAUUGUAGAGUAACUGCUACAGUCUUGACGGUAUCUUAUCAGAAAGCCACGGCUAACUACGUGCCAGCAGCCGCCGUAA